rnacentral:rRNA from 1 species
UACGGAGGGAGCUAGCGUUAUUCGGAAUUACUGGGCGUAAAGCGCACGUAGGCGGCUUUGUAAGUAAGAGGUGAAAGCCUGGAGCUCAACUCCAGAACUGCCUUUUAGACUGCAUCGCUUGAAUCCAGGAGAGGUGAGUGGAAUUCCGAGUGUAGAGGUGAAAUUCGUAGAUAUUCGGAAGAACACCAGUGGCGAAGGCGGCUCACUGGCCCGAUACUGACGCUGAGGCACGAAAGCGUGGGGAGCAAACAGG